AAGAGCAAGGCCCUCAGCUGGCUGCACUCAGGGGCUCUGGACUCAGCAGGGCUUUCAUGUUGAGCUGUUUGCUGUGAAUUUGGCUUUUCCUGUAUGUGGCUCUGUUGAACCAUCUCAUCAGACAGGCCCUGAGGAGAGACCUGAUAAUAUCUCUCCUGUUCCUAGCAGGUCAUUUCAAGGUUACACUGGGAAUCCCAGAACUUCUGAGCUGAAAGCUCUGAGAGUGGAUGAUUCGGCCCUUAAGCCUGAGAGGCUGAGAGUGGGUAGGGCUCAGUGCCUGGAGCAGGGAAGAGUGGAGGAGGAAGCUCAGGAGGAAGUUUGCCUGGGAACCUGGCACAAAUGUUACUCAGGAUGCACAGUGGGGAUAUUUUCGUGUGUUCAGAGGGCAGAUAUGCGGAUGACUCAACGUUUUGCCCACGUAGUGCCUCUUGUUGCUUGGCUGCCUUAGCUGAUUGAAGUCAUCAGUGGAUAAUGUAGCAGGUGCAAAUGAAUUGGCUACUGAUGGUUUAUACAACCCUGGAGGACGCCCCUACUCUCGGCCUAAUAUGGACAGAAAAUACAGUUAUUGGACUACAGCAUCAAAAUACUACAGCCCUGUGGACGAUGAAUCAGAGCAUCUCCCUCACCCACAGAGACCACAGUGUUCCACAAGAAGGGAAGAUCUGCAGUAGCAAUUCCUGCGGCGGGGGGAGGCUUCGUGUCUCCCCGUCCUAAUUGCUGUCAGUUGCCCUGCACUGAGUGCUCACGAACAAGGAAGGAGGCACUGCGUGUGGUCAUCCCAACUCCUCACAGCUGCUGAAGAGAAAACUCUCAUCCAUAUAUGGUGUUCAAUGGGUUUAUAUGUUGAUGACUCCCAUCAUGUAUUUGCAGCCCAAAUUCUGACUCUUCUGUCCUCUGUCUAGAAGAUAUAUCUAUCUAUGUGUCCUUUACACUCCCUGGAUUCACCAUGGCCAAACCUCCUUUGAGAUGAAGUCUCAAUCUGUUGCCCAGGCUGUAGUGCAGUGGCGGGAUCUCGGCUCAUUGCAAUCUCUGCUUCCCAGGUUCAAGUGAUUCUUGUGCCUCAGCCUUCUGAGUAGCUGGGAUUGCAGGCAUGCGCCACCAUGCUGGGCUAAUUUUUUUUUUUUUUUUUUUUUUUUGACGUGGAGUCUCACUCCUGUCACCCAGGCUGGAGUGCAAUGGUAUGAUCUCGGCUCACAGCAACCUCCACCUCCUGGGUUCAAGCGAUUCUCCUGCCUUAGCCUCCCAAGUAGCUGGGAUUACAG
rnacentral:lncRNA from 1 species